rnacentral:lncRNA from 1 species
UUGUAGCCGAGACGUCUCUCGUUGAAGCGGAGACGUCCCCGGAGCGCCUGGGACGCGACUGACAGCUUUUCAGGUUUGGUUUGAAUUUCAAAUCCUUUUUACUUUGUCUCUAACGGCUAUAUUUGCUUUUUGGGCUAUAAAAGGGACCUCUCAAGUGCUUCUCAACAACUCUUCACCAACCCAAAGCUAGAUCAUUCAAGAGAGAAGUAAGAAAGAAAAGUUCAAGAGAGUGAGUGCAUUCAAGUGAAGAAAUCAAGUGUUUUCAAGCUUUCCAAGUGAUUUCAAGC